GGAAAGGGCCUUCAUCUGCACUCAGCCAGGGAGCUGGCAGCAGCUGUCUAAAUCCAGGAUCACCGAGGUGCCGCUUUCUCAUACCACAGGAAACAAUUUGAAGCUAUUAAGCCAACCUUGCCGAAGUCCAAAUGCCUGAUGCAAUCUCUGCAGAUCGGUGCACGGCUUGGAUCUGUGCCCCGGGAUUCGCUCCGGAAGAAAUGCAACCGCGCAGAACUUUGGGAAAAACCAAAUUCCAUCGGUUUUAAGCCAAAAGGAGGAAAGCGAAUGAGGGAGCUGACAGAAAACUGCACUGGCCACCGUUAUCCACGGCUUUGCUAAGGUAUAUCAGGCCCAGCACAGCUGUAGUUGCUGCAAGAAUGGAGCCCAGUGCUCCUGUGGCUUAACAGACUGGCCCUUUGGGGAUGGAAUGUCUCAUGCUCGGCCGCAGCCCUGAAGGGAACUGGUUCUGAACGAACAGCGCUCUGAACAGGUCGCCCCGUUAGCACCGUCUGCCAAACACCACCAACCGGACCAGCUGCAGUGGCCGCUGACACUACAGGAGUGAGUCCAACUCUGCCCUCGCGGAGGCUCCGACUGGCCAUGGUGCAAGGGCAGCACUAUCCUACUAGGAUCAUUUGCUUCCCUGAGUCAAUACUGCAAGUUUUGCAGUAAUUGUCUAGAACAUUUCUCAGCUGCUUUGUUUGUGCUCCGGUGAUCUGAGUGGCUUGGGCUGCAAAGGAAAAUCAAAGGGAGUUUGGUGCCUAACACCCUUUAAGGAUCCGGGCUGAAAGCACUGGCACCAGGUCCUUCUCGGCUCCCUCCUGAGGGGUACAGGAGGCUCGGAAGGGGUUUUAUUUUUAUGGAGAUGUUGUUUGGCGUAUCAAGCCUCCAACAGGUCUCUGUACAGCCUGGGUGUGCACUCCUGGAGCCAAGCGCCCCCAGUCCUCUGGCACAGUUUUACCAUCGCCCCCAUCUUUGGAAACAGUUCUGAAGGGACUAGCUGGAGAAAGCCGGACUUUCGUUUACUGGACACAGGCUUGCUGUGGUAAAUCACACCAACUGCCCAUUUCAUGUCCCCGUCCAUGUUCCAGCACUUGGACCCAGCCCUGGGCUGGCUGGUGACCAGGAUGAAUUUACCCUUCCAUUUCAGCAGGGACAGAAGAGCACAAGGAUCAAUAUCACUUACUAUUUGUAUCCCAGUCAGCAUCAGAGCAGAUGAACAAGGCCAGACCAGAAAUGACAGCUCUUUCCUUUUCAUCUGGAGCUCUGAUCCCGUCCCCAGUCCACCGUGCCCUGCUUGCUCAGUCUUCAGGCAGAGCAUUAGUCACCCCUCACUUGUACCCAGCAAUCACUCUCUGCUUGCCCUUUGUUUCUCACUGAACAGAAAGGCAAAGCACUGCAUGACGCUAGAUGGUGAGGGAGCCAGUGAUGGGAGAACUCCCCACAUUCUGAUCACAGAAAUGUGCCCCUGGUUUGCAAUGAGCGGGUAGGCUGCUCUGGCUCAGAGAUGCACCAUGCAUACUAAUGUGAGGCGACUCAAGAAACAUCUCAGAGUGAGCAGAAUGCUGGCUCAUGUCUACACUGAUUUGCAAUACACAGAGAAGAAAGACAACAGGCAAAAUCCUGGGCCCACAGACAUCAUGGAAAAACUCUCACUGACUUCAGUGGGACCAGGAUUAUACCAUAUCUCUCUUCCAUGUCUGCCUCCUUCCGCCUGGAUCAAUUGAAGGAUUGGGUCCUUAGUCUGGAAGGGGGAGAAAAGUGUGUGUUUACAUGCUGCAGCCAGCAGGGCAUGGUGCCACCAUGAUGGCAGCACUCCCAGGCUGCUACAGGCAGCCAGUGCUAUGUUAGCUAGGCAGAAAUUAGUCGGGGUGGGCAAGGCCCCAUGUUCCCGAUUGCACUUGACUUAAUUCAAUGGACAGUUGGAGAACUCUGCUGACUAGUCAGGUCUCUCCAGAGCCUCUCAGACCAAUGGCUGCCAGCAAUCUCCCCAAUGGCCGCAUGGCUCUACCCUGUGGCUGCACUGCACUAAGCAAGGAGGCCAUUGCAGGCGCCUUGAUGUGGUUCUCGCCUGGCUGCCGGCUCGCUCUGCACGUGGUGCGGCUCUGCCAGCGCACUCCGAUUCCUCUCCCAUGUUGCACAGACUGCGUCUGGAAGCAAGGGCUGUAGGGUACUUUCUAACAGCACAGCAGUAGAGGAGCUGGCGGAAAUGGAGCCACCUUUGUGGCUUCCUAGGGAGUAACUGCUGCAGAUGGGGGUGGGUCAGCUGGUUCCGAGUGGAAGGUACCGCUCCCCACAGAAAAGACAGUGCUUGAAAGCUGGGACUGCCGCUGCGUGUGGGCACAGGGCACUGCACAGACAUCCCCACCAGGGACCAGGUCUCCUCCCUGGUCCUAUCUCAUCAUGCACCCAGAGCAAAUCACUCCUUUCCCCUUCCUGCUGGAGCACUCAAGCGUCCCGUAUUUCCUCUCCUUUUUCCCCUGCCCCUCCAAGCUGCCCUCCGCACCUCCUCAGUGCCGUUCUUUGGCUGGCUGGAAGGGUUGCAGUUCAGUAACUUGAGGCCUAGAGCAACUCUCACAGGCUGUGUGCAGGGCUCCCAGCCCUUAGGGGUGGGGGCAAGGAGCUCUAUGAGAUGUCUCCUCCUUUCCCAGAGGAUGAAUAUGCUGCUUCCAACAGUGGCCUCUGCCUGUGAGCACCCAGCUUUCCCAUGUGGGGUUCAAAAAGGAGCUAGAUAGAUUCAAGGAGGAUAGGUCCAUCAAUGGCUAUG